rnacentral:misc_RNA from 1 species
GAUGAAGAACGUAGCGAAAUGCGAUAAGUAAUGCGAAUUGCAGAAUUCCGUGAGUCAUCGAAUCUUUGAACGCGCAUUGCGCCCUCUGGUAUUCCGGAGGGCAUGCCUGUCUGAGCGUCAUUGUCAACCCUCAAGCUCAGCUUGCUGUUGGGUCCCCGUCGUUGCUUUAACGGCGGACCCGAAAGGUAAUGGCAGAGUCCGUGAGACCCUAGACGCAGCGAGCUUCUAGCACGCGUCUGGACGUUUUUCGGGCUCGGUCUUAACUAGAUGAUAACUUCCGAUUGACCUCAGAUCAGGUAGGGAUACCCGCUGAACUUAAGCAUAUCAAUAAGCGGAGGA